rnacentral:rRNA from 1 species
CUUUACUAUAGCGUGUCAUUGAAACUUUAUUUUUGUUGCUUAGUAUAGGUGGGAGACUUUGAUGCUACUCUUCCGGGAGUAGCGGAGUCGAAAUGUGAAAUACCACCCUGCACAGACGAAUUUUUUAACCAAGGCUUAACCUACUUUGGGACAGUGACUCGUGGGUAGUUUAACUGGGGCGGUUGCCUCCUAAAUGGUAACGGAGGCGUUUAUUAAGGUAGGCUAGGCGCGGAUGGAAAUCGCGCUGGUAGUGCAAACGCAUAAGCCUGCUUGACUGCAAGAGUGGCAACUCGCGCAGGUACGAAAGUAGAAGUUAGUGAUCCGAUGCGUUCGAGUGGAAGACGCAAAGCCCAGCGGAUAAAAGUUA